rnacentral:rRNA from 1 species
GACGUAGGUGGCGAACGUUAUCCGGAAUUAUUGGGCGUAAAGCGCCCGCAGGCGGCUUGAUAAGUUUCAGGUGAAACCUCCCGGCUCAACCGGGAGGGUGCCUGGAAAACUAUCAGGCUUGAGUCAUGGAGAGGGAUGUGGAAUUCCCGGUGUAGUGGUGAAAUGCGUAGAUAUCGGGAGGAACACCAGUGGCGAAGGCGGCAUCCUGGCCAUGUACUGACGCUCAGGGGCGAAAGCGUGGGGAGCAAACCGG